rnacentral:lncRNA from 1 species
UGGAUUUGAAAGCCACCCCGCAAGCUGAUAAAUAAAAUAUAAGCAAAUAAAUAAAAACACCGUGGCCCCUUUAAAUGGGAAGACUGCAGAGACUGAAGGUGGGAGAAUAAAUUGGGAAAGAAAUUCCCUUUUCCACUUUGAAAGAAGAGUCUGAAACUUGUCCUUUCUACCUCUGGUGAUUUAAUCACAUAUGAUAACUGUAUAAAUCAAAUCUCCCUCAUUCCCUCUCAAGUAUGAAUUAGCUCUUAAUUAGGCCAUUGGACAAAAUUUCAAGUUAAAAUGAAAUGCAUCUUAUGAAUAGGUUGGAAUAUCAUCCUAUGUGAAGGUAAAGGUUAACUCAUCUGUCUCCUGCAAGUACAGCAGGGACCCAAUUUUAGUCUUGUUCUCAGUGGUUUGACCCCAGUAACUCCCAUUACUUUCUCCCGCUUUUCAUGAAUGCAGGUCAGCAGAGUCUUAUGCCAUCAGUGUUCCAGAUCUCAGCGAAGCAGACGAUGACACCACAUUGUCAUUUUCAUUCACAGGAGUAGAUUUUGUUUUCAAGCUUAUGGGUGCAGAACAGUAUUGCUUUUUUUGCUUUGUGUGAAAGCAAAAGUGGGGUCACAGAUGAUGGGGCAGAAGAAAACUUUUUACAAGCAGACUGAAAAGAGUGAAGCUGCAAGAAGAUGAGGUAGCACAUGAGGCUGAAAUCUGUUGUGUGAGGGCUCUCUCUGUUGCCGUCUGUUCACCAUCACCCAGCAGAUUAAGAGAUGAUUCCAAGUAUCCCAAAUCCAAGCCCACAAGCAUUUGGCAGAUGGUUCUGUGAUGAGUAACAAGCAUUUUGGAAAGGAAAUCCAUCUCCAUUUCUGAUCAGCAUUUUGGAGGUCAUGUCUUGUGAAGCAGAUAAUAAACUUCAUAUAAUAUGUUUUUGACA